rnacentral:rRNA from 1 species
UAGGGAAUCUUGCACAAUGGGCGAAAGCCUGAUGCAGCAAUGCCGCGUGAGUGAAGAAGGUUUUCGGAUUGUAAAACUCUGUUAUAUGGGAAGAAUAUUUAGAGGAGGAAAUGCCUUUAAAAUGACGGUACCAUAUCAGCAAGGGACGGCUAACUACGUGCCAGCAGCCGCGGUAAUACGUAGGUCCCGAGCGUUAUCCGGAAUUAUUGGGCGUAAAGGGUGCGCAGGUGGUUAUGUAAGUCUGGUGUGAAAUUUUUGGGCUCAACCCAAAAAGGUCAUUGGAAACUGCAUAACUUGAGAGCAGGAGAGGUAAGUGGAAUUCCUAGUGUAGCGGUGAAAUGCGUAGAGAUUAGGAGGAACACCAGUGGCGAAGGCGGCUUACUGGACUGUAUCUGACACUGAGGCACGAAAGCGUGGGUAGCAAACAG